UACCGACUCGUUAAACAGACAAGAAACUUGUGCAGAGGCCAGCUCUACAACCACAACCAAGUUUGACCUCAAAUCAGGUAGGACUACCCGCUGAACUUAAGCAUAUCAAUAAGCGGAGGAAAAGAAACCAACAGGGAUUGCCUCAGUAACGGCGAGUGAAGCGGCAAAAGCUCAAAUUUGAAAUCCAGUACCUUUGGUGCUCGAGUUGUAAUUUGAAGAUGGUAACUUUGGACGUGGCCUUCAUCUAUGUUCCUUGGAACAGGACGUCGCAGAGGGUGAGAAUCCCGUGUGAUGAGGAGAUCCAUGUCUAUGUAAAGUGCUGUCGACGAGUCGAGUUGUUUGGGAAUGCAGCUCUAAGUGGGUGGUAAAUUCCAUCUAAAGCUAAAUAUUGGCGAGAGACCGAUAGCGAACAAGUACAGUGAUGGAAAGAUGAAAAGAACUUUGAAAAGAGAGUGAAAAAGUACGUGAAAUUGUUGAAAGGGAAGGGUAUUAGAUCAGACUUGGUGGUGUGUGAAAAUCUUCUCCUUGUGGGGAGUGCACUCGCGCACUUGCUGGGCCAGCAUCGAUUGGGGUGGCAGGAUAACAGCGCUUGAACGUGGCUCUUCGGAGUGUUAUAGCUUGUGCCAAUGCUGCCGACCUCGAUCGAGGACUGCGCUGCCUUCGGGUAGC
rnacentral:rRNA from 1 species